CAGUCGCCGCGGUAAAACGAAGGGGGCUAGCGUUGUUCGGAAUUACUGGGCGUAAAGCGCACGUAGGCGGAUAUUUAAGUCAGGGGUGAAAUCCCGCAGCUCAACUGCGGAACUGCCCUUGAUACUGGGUAUCUUGAGUAUGGAAGAGGUUAGUGGAAUUGCGAGUGUAGAGGUGAAAUUCGUAGAUAUUCGCAGGAACACCAGUGGCGAAGGCGGCUAACUGGUCCAUAACUGACGCUGAGGUGCGAAAGCGUGGGGAGCAAACAGGAUUAGAUACCCCGGUAGUCCCUGUCUCUUAUAC
rnacentral:rRNA from 1 species